rnacentral:rRNA from 1 species
CAGCAGCCGCGGGAAUACGUAGGGUGCGAGCGUUAAUCGGAAUUACUGGGCGUAAAGCGUGCGCAGGCGGUUGUGUAAGACAGGUGUGAAAUCCCCGGGCUUAACCUGGGAACUGCGCUUGUGACUGCACAGCUAGAGUAUGGCAGAGGGGGGUGGAAUUCCACGUGUAGCAGUGAAAUGCGUAGAGAUGUGGAGGAACACCGAUGGCGAAGGCAGCCCCCUGGGCCAAUACUGACGCUCAUGCACGAAAGCGUGGGGAGCAAACAGGAUUAGAUACCCCGGUAGUCCCUGUCUCUUAUAA